UACGAAGGGGGCUUGCGUUGCUCGGAAUCACUGGGCGUAAAAAGUGCGUAGGCAGGUCUUUAAGUCAGGGGUGAAAUCCUGGAGCUCAACUCCAGAACUGCCUUUGAUACUGAAGAUCUUGAGUCCGGGAGAGGUGAGUGGAACUGCGAGUGUAGAGGUGAAAUUCGUAGAUAUUCGCAAGAACACCAGUGGCGAAGGCGGCUCACUGGCCCGGUACUGACGCUGAGGCACGAAAGCGUGGGGAGCAAACAGG
rnacentral:misc_RNA from 1 species